GGCUGCGUCACCAUGGCCUGGACCCCUGUCAUCCUCGUGCUCCUCUGUCACUGCACAGGUUCCCUGUCCCAGCCUGUGCUGACCCAGCCGCCCUCCCUCUCUGCAUCCCUGGGAUCAACAGCCAGACUCACCUGCACCCUGAGCAGUGGCUUCAGUGUUGGUGGCUACUACAUAUACUGGUACCAGCAGAAGCCAGGGAGCCCUCCCCGGUACCUCCUGUACUACUACUCAGACUCAAGUACACAGUUGGGCCCCGGGGUCCCCAGCCGCUUCUCUGGAUCCAAAGACACCUCAGCCAAUGCAGGGCUCCUACUCAUCUCUGGGCUGCAGCCUGAGGACGAGGCUGACUACUUCUGUGCAAUCUGGCACAGUGGUGCUUAUCACAGUGAUAAACACAGAUGGGGAAGUGGGACAAAUACUUCCUCCUGCUCAGGUCUCUGGAUGCUGAUUCUCCUGCAAUUUCAAAUAACUAGAAUGUACCUUGACUAUACUUGGAAGCAGCUUUGA